rnacentral:tRNA from 3 species
CGAGGCAUAGCUCAGCUUGGUAGAGCGUUGCGUUCGGGACGCAAAGGCCACAGGUUCGAAUCCUGCUGCCUCGACCA